GACAGAGGGUGCAAACGUUGCUCGGAAUCACUGGGCGUAAAGGGCGUGUAGGCGGGAAGGAAAGUCAGAUGUGAAAUCCCCAGGCUCAACCUGGGAACUGCAUUUGAAACUCCCUUUCUUGAGUACCGGAGAGGAAAGUGGAAUUCCUGGUGUAGAGGUGAAAUUCGUAGAUAUCAGGAGGAACACCGGUGGCGAAGGCGGGUCUCUGGGCCGUAACUGACGCUGAGGAGCGAAAGCGUGGGGAGCGAACAGG
rnacentral:rRNA from 1 species